GACGAACGCUGGCGGUGUGCUUAACACAUGCAAGUCGAACGGUAAGGCCCUUUCGGGGGUACACGAGUGGCGAACGGGUGAGUAACACGUGAGUAACCUGCCCUCAUCUCUGGGAUAACAGUCGGAAACGGUUGCUAAUACUGGAUAUGAGCUUGCAAGGCAUCUUUUGGGUUGGAAAGAUUUUUUUUGGUUGGGGAUGGACUCGCGGCCUAUCAGCUUGUUGGUGAGGUAGUGGCUCACCAAGGCUUCGACGGGUAGCCGGCCUGAGAGGGCGACCGGCCACAUUGGGACUGAGAUACGGCCCAAACUCCUACGGGAGGCAGCAGUGGGGAAUAUUGAACAAUGGACGGAAGUCUGAUGCAGCAACGCCGCGUGCGGGAUGACGGCCUUAGGGUUGUAAACCGCUUUCAAUUGUGACGAAGCUUUUUUGUGACGGUAGCAGUAGAAGAAGCACCGGCUAACUACGUG
rnacentral:rRNA from 1 species